rnacentral:lncRNA from 1 species
UGCUUUAUUUUUGACCAAAAUAUUGUAUUUGUAUUUGGUUAUUUGUUUUGGUGGUUAAUGCAUUUGAUUUUCAAC